AUUGAACGCAGGCGGCAGGCCUAACACAUGCAAGUCGAGCGGAUGAAGGGAGCUUGCUCCUGGAUUCAGCGGCGGACGGGUGAGUAAUGCCUAGGAAUCUGCCUGGUAGUGGGGGAUAACGUCCGGAAACGGGCGCUAAUACCGCAUACGUCCUGAGGGAGAAAGUGGGGGAUCUUCGGACCUCACGCUAUCAGAUGAGCCUAGGUCGGAUUAGCUAGUUGGUGGGGUAAAGGCCUACCAAGGCGACGAUCCGUAACUGGUCUGAGAGGAUGAUCAGUCACACUGGAACUGAGACACGGUCCAGACUCCUACGGGAGGCAGCAGUGGGGAAUAUUGGACAAUGGGCGAAAGCCUGAUCCAGCCAUGCCGCGUGUGUGAAGAAGGUCUUCGGAUUGUAAAGCACUUUAAGUUGGGAGGAAGGGCAGUAAGUUAAUACCUUGCUGUUUUGACGUUACCAACAGAAUAAGCACCGGCUAACUUCGUG
rnacentral:rRNA from 1 species